CCGCCCUCGGAGUCACAUCAUCUUACUGUCUCGUGCGGGCCGCCCUCGGGAGCACACACGCCAGCACACACAUACACCAGCGUGAGAUGGAAAAUCUUUUUGGGCGGAGUGAAGAACGCGAGAAUUCGUUUAACUCGAUCCCAGAGCUACGACGGAUUCGACCGGUUUUUCGUAUCGCAAUUUGCGAUGUUAAUCAAAAUUACGAAAGAGCCACGGCGAUGGAAAGUAUAAGGCUAUCAUGAAAAGCCGCUUAUGCAAAUCUUCGGACAGCUGUCUCGGCGAGUGAAUAUUGUGUAGGUACCACGAAGAAGCUGUACUUACUUAACAAAGGAACAAGGGAGAAGACGGAGGUCCGGGAAGGCAUCGGGCGACGCGACGGCGGAGAAACCGUGGGUUUUCGACACAGUUUGCAUAGCAACUGCCGCUGUUGCGUCAUCAUAUCGGGUGAGUCGUAAAUUAUUUUCUAUUAAAUUGAGG